rnacentral:rRNA from 1 species
AUUCGUGCCAGCAGUUGCGGUUAUACAAGUAAUAUGAUUUAAUUAUUUUAGUAUAAAUUAAUAGAAAUAAUAAAAUUAAAUUUUUAAUUAGAAUUUAGAAGGUGGAAUUUAAAAUUUUAAUAAAAUUAGAGAUUAGAAAUGAAGUUAAAAAAUUUAGUAAUUAAACUAGGAUUAGAUACCCUAUUAUUUUAAUUGUAAGUAAAAAAAGACUAAGUUAAUAAAAGUUAAGUUCUUAAAAAUUAAAAAUUUUGGCGGUAUUUUAGUCUAUUCAGAGGAACCUAUUUCUUAAUUGAUAAUCCACGAUUUAUAAUACUUUUAUUAAUUAAUUUGUAUAUCGUCGUAAUUAAAAUAUUUUAUAAGAAUAUUAAUAUUUAAAAUUUUUUAUUAAAAAAUAAAUCAGAUCAAGGUGCAGUUUAUAUAAAAGUGAAAAUGGGUUACAAUAAAUUUAUUUUUAAGAUUAUUAUUAUUAUAAUGAUAUGAAUUUGGAUUUGAAAGUAAAAUAAAUUAAUUAAUUAAUUUGAUUUAGCUCUAAAAUAUGCACACAUCGCCC